GACUCCUACGGGAGGCAGCAGUGGGGAAUAUUGCACAAUGGGCGGAAGCCUGAUGCAGCAACGCCGCGUGCGGGAUGACGGCCUUCGGGUUGUAAACCGCUUUCGCCUGUGACGAAGCGUGAGUGACGGUAAUGGGUAAAGAAGCACCGGCUAACUACGUGCCAGCAGCCGCGGUAAUACGAAGGGGGCUAGCGUUGUUCGGAAUUACUGGGCGUAAAGCGCGCGUAGGCGGACUAUUAAGUUAGAGGUGAAAUCCCGGGGCUCAACCCCGGAACUGCCUUUAAUACUGGUAGUCUUGAGUUCGAGAGAGGUGAGUGGAAUUCCGAGUGUAGAGGUGAAAUUCGUAGAUAUUCGGAGGAACACCAGUGGCGAAGGCGGCUCACUGGCUCGAUACUGACGCUGAGGUGCGAAAGUGUGGGGAGCAAACAGGAUUAGAUA
rnacentral:rRNA from 12 species